UACAGAGGGUGCGAGCGUUGUCCGGAAUCACUGGGCGUAAAGGGCGCGUAGGCGGCCCGGUAAGGUUGCGGUGAAAUCCCCGGGCUCAACCCGGGAACUGCGUCCGAUACUGGAAGGCUUGAAUCCGGGAGAGGGAUGCGGAAUUCCAGGUGUAGCGGUGAAAUGCGUAGAUAUCUGGAGGAACACCGGUGGCGAAGGCGGCAUCCUGGACCGGCAUUGACGCUGAGGCGCGAAAGCCAGGGGAGCAAACGGG
rnacentral:rRNA from 1 species